rnacentral:rRNA from 1 species
CUACGGAGGGUGCAAGCGUUAAUCGGAAUUACUGGGCGUAAAGCGUACGUAGGCGGCAAGUUAAGUUAGAUGUGAAAGCCCCGGGCUCAACCUGGGAACUGCAUUUAAAACUGGCUUGCUAGAGUUGAGUAGAGGGGAGUGGAAUUUCAGGUGUAGCGGUGAAAUGCGUAGAGAUCUGAAGGAACACCAGUGGCGAAGGCGACUCCCUGGACUCGAACUGACGCUGAGGUACGAAAGCGUGGGUAGCAAACGGGAUUAGAAACCCCUGUAGUCC